rnacentral:rRNA from 1 species
GACGAACGCUGGCGGCGUGCUUAACACAUGCAAGUCGAACGGGUCUGCCCUGUUUUUUGCGGGGUGGGUCAGUGGCGAACGGGUGAGUAACACGUGAGUAACCUGCCCCUCACUUCUGGAUAACCGCUUGAAAGGGUGGCUAAUACGGGGUGUUCUGGCUGUGCCGCAUGGUGUGGCUGGGAAAGAUUCACUUUUGUGGUGUUUUGGUGGGGGAUGGGCUCGCGGCCUAUCAGCUUGUUGGGGGGGUGAUGGCCUGCCAAGGCUUUGACGGGUAGCCGGCCUGGGAGGGUGGGCGGUCACACUGGGAAUGAGAUACGGCCCAGACUCCGGCGGGAGGCAGCAGUGGGGGGUAGUGCACAAUGGGCGGAAGCCUGAUGCAGCGACGUCGCGUGAGGGAUGGAGGCCUUCGGGUUGUGAACCUCUUUCGCCGGUGAAGAAGGUCCUGCUCUUUGUGGUGGGGUUGACGGUAGCCGGGUUAUGAAGCGCCGGCUAACUACGUG